UACGUAGGGUGCAAGCGUUGUCCGGAAUUAUUGGGCGUAAAGAGCUCGUAGGCGGUCUGUCGCGUCGGCUGUGAAAACCUGGGGCUCAACCCCGGGCCUGCAGCCGAUACGGGCAGACUAGAAUUCGGUAGGGGAGACUGGAAUUCCCGGUGUAGUGGUGAAAUGCGUAGAUAUCGGGAGGAACACCAGUGGCGAAGGCGACUACCUGGCCUGUUCUUGACGCUGAGGCGCGAAAGCUAGGGGAGCAAACGGG
rnacentral:rRNA from 1 species